rnacentral:rRNA from 1 species
GGCAUGCUUAACACAUGCAAGUCGCACGGGCAGCAAUGUCAGUGGCGGACGGGUGAGUAACGCGUAGGGAAGUGUCCAGAGGUGGGGGACAACCCCGGGAAACUGGGGCUAAUACCGCAUAUGGCCUGAGGGCCAAAGCAGUGAUGCGCCUUUGGAGUUACCUGCGUCCGAUUAGCUAGUUGGUGGGGUAAAGGCCUACCAAGGCGACGAUCGGUAGCUGGUCUGAGAGGACGACCAGCCACACUGGGACUGAGACACGGCCCAGACUCCUACGGGAGGCAGCAGUGGGGAAUAUUGGACAAUGGGCGCAAGCCUGAUCCAGCAAUGCCGCGUGGGUGAAGAAGGUCUUCGGAUCGUAAAGCCCUUUCGGCGGGGACGAUGAUGACGGUACCCGCAGAAGAAGCCCCGGCUAACUUCGUGCCAGCAGCCGCGGUAAUACGAAGGGGGCUAGCGUUACUCGGAAUUACUGGGCGUAAAGGGCGCGUAGGCGGCGUUCCAAGUUAGGCGUGAAAGUCCUGGGCUCAACCUGGGAACUGCGCUUAAGACUGGAGUGCUAGAGGAUGGAAGAGGGUUGUGGAAUUCCCAGUGUAGAGGUGAAAUUCGUAGAUAUUGGGAAGAACACCGGUGGCGAAGGCGGCAACCUGGUCCAUUACUGACGCUGAGGCGC